UGCUGCUGCUAGCCUCUUUUGAGUGUCCUUUUCUGGAAGACUCAUGAGCGAGCAUGUUUUAAGCUCUUCAGGAUGUGGUCUGCAUCCCACCGGGCCUUGGACACAUUGACUUCUUGCUGCUCCCUGAGAAGCUUCAUCAGGAGGCCCGUUUUGGAGAUGGGCUUGGCACAGGGCAGUUGCACAUGGGCCUCAUUCAGAGCAGUCCAUUUUUAAACACCAGAUGACUUCGGAAAUCAGCCUUCUUAUGUCAUUGGACAUAAUGGCUGGAGUUACUGGUUUAGGGUGCUUUCUAAGGAAGGUUCUGAAUGAGCAUGUAAUUCUGAGACACGAUUCUGCUGAAAACGCAAGUCUCUUGAAGAUGAGAACUGUUGUGAAGGGGAACUGAUGAGACUCCUCGCUGCCAAAACAGAGGCCUCCUCGCAAGCAUUGGUCCGCUGCAUGUAUUUUCCUUUCUCAACUUUUCACUCAGUUUGGCCUUGGGUGUUCCGUGGGCCAUAAGAGAAUGCGUUUUAUGAAAGCAGUGAUUUGGGGGGGGCGGGUAAGAUUGGUUUAGUACACUUCAUAGUUUUCGCUCUGGCAUAUGCAUCUUCUAACAUCAACACACUGUAGACAAAGUAAUUUGCCCUGUUUCUCACCUUAGGCAGGGCUUUGGCAGGGAUGGAGGAGAGAGACUUGCCCACUGAGUGAUGUUUAAGGGAAGAAGAGACUGCUUGCUCCCUUCUUUAUGUGGAAGCAGUUUCCUACCAACUUCUGGCCUCAGUACCUCGGAUGGUGCUCCAGUCCCCUGGGAUGGGUCUCUUCGGGCUUCUUUCUUUGGUGACAUCCUCCAAGAGUGGCUGGGGACUCUGCUUUGCCUUGACCCCCUGUUUUCUCACUUCCUUGAAGAGAC
rnacentral:lncRNA from 1 species